GACGAACGCUGGCGGCGUGCUUAACACAUGCAAGUCGAACGGAAAGGCCCUGCUUUUGUGGGGUGCUCGAGUGGCGAACGGGUGAGUAACACGUGAGUAACCUGCCCUUGCCUUUGGGAUAACUUCAGGAAACUGGGGCUAAUACCGACUAGGUGCUCCUGCUGCAUGGUGGGGGUUGGAAAGUUUAGGCGGCUGGGGCAGGUGGCGCGGCUUAUCAGCUUGUGGGUGGGGUAGUGGCUUACGAAGGCUUUGACGGGUAGCCGGCCUGGGAGGGUGACCGGCCACAGUGGGACUGGGAUACCACCCAUACUCCUACGGGAGGCAGCAGUGAGAAAUAGUGCACGAUAGGCGGAAUCCGGAUGCAGCAACGCCGCGUUCGGGAUGACGGCCUUCGGGUUGGAAACCGCUUCCUCCGGUUACGAAGCGUGAUUGACGGUAAUGGGUAAAGAAGCAACGGCUAACUACGUG
rnacentral:rRNA from 1 species